rnacentral:rRNA from 1 species
CCUACGAGAGGCAGCAGUGAGGAAUAUUGGUCAAUGGGCGAGAGCCUGAACCAGCCAAGUCGCGUGAAGGAUGACGGCCCUACGGGUUGUAAACUUCUCUUGGCAGGGAGCAAUGGAGUCCACGUGUGGGCUUAGCGAGAGUACCUGAAGAAAAAGCAUCGGCUAACUCCGUGCCAGCAGCCGCGGUAAUACGGAGGAUGCGAGCGUUAUCCGGAUGUAUUGGGUUAAAAGGGUGAGUAGGCGGAAGGUUAAGUCAGCGGUCACAUGUCGGUGCUCAACACCGGCCUGCCGUUGAAACUGGUCUUCUUUGGUGAGCGAGAAGUAUGCGGAAUGCGUGGUGUAGCGGUGAAAUGCAUAGCUAUCACGCAGAACUCCGAUUGCGAAGGCAGCAUACCGGCGCUCAACUGACGCUGAGGCACGAAAGCGUGGGGAUCGAACAGGAUUAGAUACCCUUGUAGUC